rnacentral:lncRNA from 1 species
UUUUGAUCUAAAACUCUAAAUUGAGUGCCUCUUUUUGCAUUAUGCUCCUUAUGACUCAUAUUUUCCAAAACCCUCAUGGCAUUGCAUGAAUGAGCAUCACAUGAUCAUUGGUUCAUGCAUGUGUUUUUUGGAGGGAAAAUCAUGAAUUUAAAUUUGGUUGAUCAUGUGAGUUUUCUAGCCAUUCCAUCAUGUUCAUGAGAUCAUUUUAAGUGAAAAUACACCAUGCAUGCUACUGUUCACGUUCGUAAUGGCCAUGCAUAGGGUGAAAUUUCCAAUUUGGC